rnacentral:rRNA from 1 species
GACGAACGCUGGCGGCGUGCCUAACACAUGCAAGUCGAACGAGGUCCAUGAGAGCUUGCUCUCAGAAGACCUAGUGGCGAACGGGUGAGUAACACGUGAGAAACCUGCCUCGGAGUGGGGAAUAACUCGGGGAAACUCGAGCUAAUACCGCAUAUCUUCACAUGAUCGCAUGGUCGAGUGAAGAAAGAAUUUCGCUCUGAGAGGGUCUCGCGGCCUAUCAGCUUGUUGUGGGGUAACGGCCCACCAAGGCAACGACGGGUAGCUGGUUUGAGAGAACGAUCAGCCACACUGGGACUGUGACACGGCCCAGACUCCUACGGGAGGCAGCAGUGGGGAAUCUUGCGCAAUGGGCGAAAGCCUGACGCAGCAACGCCGCGUGCGGGAUGACGGCCUUCGUGGUUGUAAACCGCUUUCAGCAGGACGAAAAUGACGGUACCUGCAGAAGAAGCCCCGGCUAACGUACGUAGCCAGCAGCCGCGGUAAU